rnacentral:rRNA from 1 species
UACAGAGGUCUCAAGCGUUGUUCGGAUUCAUUGGGCGUAAAGGGUGCGUAGGCGGCAGCGCAAGUCAGGUGUGAAAUCCCGGGGCUCAACCCCGGAACUGCACUUGAUACUGCGUUGCUUGAGUACUGGAGAGGAGACUGGAAUUUACGGUGUAGCAGUGAAAUGCGUAGAUAUCGUAAGGAAGACCAGUGGCGAAGGCGGUCUCCUGGGGCAUUCUUGACGCUGAGGCGCGAAAGCUGGGGGAGCAAACGGG